CAUUCCAAUUUUCAUACAAUUCAUGUCAUUUAAAACAAAACUAAACGAAAAGAUAAAUAAAGAGGAACCUAUUUGUUAGUGUCGGUCAUGCUUUUAGUCGCGGUAUUCGUCCCACUUUUAGUCGGACUUUUAGUCGCUUUUUUGCCAACAUUUUCGACAUUUGAAUCUCUUGUAGUAGGCGUGAUUAUGUUGUCGUGUUCUUGGCUCGACUGACCCUAAUGUAAAAAAAAAUUGAAAUUACAAAGAAAAUAUGAAUAUUGAUUUAUAUAUAAAUGCUAAUUACCUCAAUCGUCUCUCGACGUAAGUCUUCCCUUAGUUCCUUUAGUAUAUCCGGCAUCUGUUUUCUAACGGCCUCUUGAACUGCCCGAUCAAAGUCUUCUAUACUUUUUUGUUGUUGAAUUUCUAUAUAAUUCGUCGUUGUGUUCUGUGAAGUCGCCAUAUUAUCAGGAAUUUUAAACCAAUACAAUUAGUUUUUAAACCAAUACAAUUUUAAAGCUAAGGAUUUUCCCAUGGAAUUAAUAAAAUAUCCAAUAAAACAACAUGGGAAUUAAUAUAAGUAUAUCUAUUAUAAGAUUUCCAAAUAACAGAGAAAUCUUUGAGGAAAAUAUGGACAUGUGCUAUUUGAGAAAUCUUCCAAAUAACUGAAUACGUAUUGUAUUGGGAAAUUAUUGUAUUUUUUACAAGAUUAAUACUGAAUACGUACUGAUCAUAAAAAUAUAUUGAUCUACAGACCAAAAUCCGUGGCUAAAUCCUUGAAACAGAGUGGAAAGUGAAGGGACACGGCCAAAAUCCGUGGCUAAACCUUAACUGGCUGUGGCUAUAUCCUUGAAACAGAGUGGAAAGUGAAGGGCCACGGCCAAAAUCCGUGGCUAAAUGCCAAAAGGCCGUGGCUAAUUUCUAAAAUAUUUAUAGGAAAUAUUUACAUUUUAGAAGACGCCUAUUGAAGGUCUUACACAUUCGUAUAACCUGAAAAAAGCAUUCAAACAUAUAUUCAUACACAUUUUAUUCAUACACAUUCCAUUCAUACACAUUCCAUUCAUACACAUUCCAUUCAUACACAUUCCAUUCAUACACAAAUAUCCAUAAAAAUUAUGCAAAACAAUGAACCAAUCAACCAAAAAAUUCCAAAACAUUCCAUUCAAUUCUAUACCAUUCCAAAAGAUAAAAGAAAAGGAAUGAAUUCUAAACCAUUCUAAACCAUUCUAUACAAUUCCAAAACAUACCAUCACUUCCAUACCAUUCCAAUUUUCAUACAAUUCAUGUCAUUUAAAACAAAACUAAACGAAAAGAUAAAUAAAGAGGAACCUAUUUGUUAGUGUCGGUCAUGCUUUUAGUCGCGCUAUUCGUCCCACUUUUAGUCGCUUUUAGUCGCUUUUUUGCCAACAUUUUCGACAUUUGAAUCUCUUGUAGUAGGCGUGAUUAUGUUGUCGUGACCCUAAUGUAAAAAAAAUUUGAAAUUACAAAGAAAAUAUGAAUAUUGAUUUAUAUAUAAAUGCUAAUUACCUCAAUCGUCUAUCGACGUAAGUCUUCCCUUAGUUCCUUUAGUAUAUCCGGCAUCUGUUUUCUAAUGGCCUCUUGAACUGCCCGAUCAAAGUCUUCUUUACUUUUUUGUUGUUGAAUUUCUAUAUAAUUCGUCGUUGUGUUCUGUGAAGUCGCCAUAUUAUCAGGAAUUUUAAACCAAUACAAUUAGUUUUUAAACCAAUACAAUUUUAAAGCUAAGGAUUUUCCCAUGGAAUUAAUAAAAUAUCCAAUAAAACAACAUGGGAAUUAAUAUAAGUAUAUCUAUUAUAAGAUUUCCAAAUAACAGAGAAAUCUUUGGGGAAAAUAUGGACAUGUGCUAUUUGAGAAAUCUUCCAAAUAACGGAAUACGUAUUGUAUUGGGGAAAUUAUUGUAUUUUUUACUAGAUUAAUACUGAAUACGUACUGAUCAUAAAAAUAUAUUGAUCUACAGACCAAAAUCCGUUGCUAAAUCCUUGAAACAGAGUGGAAAGUGAAGGGCCAUGGCCAAAAUCCGUGGCUAAUCCUUAACUGGCCGUGGCUAAAUCCUUGAAACAGAGUGGAAAGUGAAGGGCCACGGCAAAAAUCCGUGGCUAAUCCUUAAUUGGACGUGGCUAAAUCCUUGAAACAGAGUGGAAAGUGAAGGGCCACGGCCAAAAUCCGUGGCUAAUCCAUAACUGGCCAUGGCUAAAUCCNNNNNNNNNNNNNNNNNNNNNNNNNNNNNNNNNNNNNNNNNNNNNNNNNNNNNNNNNNNNNNNNNNNNNNNNNNNNNNNNNNNNNNNNNNNNNNNNNNNNGUGGCUAAUCCUUAACUGGCCGUGGCUAAAUCCUUGAAACAGAGUGGAAAGUGAAGGGCCACGGCCAAAAUCCGUGGCUAAAUGCCAAAAGACCGUGGCUAAUUUCUAAAAUAUUUUUAGGAAAUAUUUACAUUUUAGAAUACGCCUAUUGUAGGUCUUACACAUUCGUAUAACCUGAAAAAAGCAUUCAAACAUAUAUUCGUACACAUUUCAUUCAUACACAUUCCAUUCAUACACAUUCCAUUCAUACACAUUCCAUUCAUACACAAAUAUCCAUAAAAAUUAUGCAAAACAAUGAACCAAUCAAUUCCAAAACAUUCCAUUCAAUUCUUCAAUUCUAUACCAUUCCAAAAGAUAAAAGAAAAGGAAUGAAUUCUAAACCAUUCUAAACCAUUCUAAACCAUUCUAUACAAUUCCAAAACAUACCAUCAAUUCCAUACCAUUCCAAUUUUCGUACAAUUCAUGUCAUUUAAAACAAAACUAAACGAAAAGAUAAAUAAAGAGGAACCUAUUUGUUAGUGUCGGUCAUGCUCUUAGUCGCGCUAUUCGUCCCACUUUUAGUUGGACUUUUAGUCGCUUUUUUGCCAACAUUUUCGACAUUUGAAUCUCUUGUAGUAGGCGUGAUUAUGUUGUCGUGUUCUUGGCUCGACUGACCCUAAUGUAAAAAAAAAUUGAAAUUACAAAGAAAAUAUGAAUAUUGAUUUAUAUAUAAAUGCUAAUUACCUCAAUCGUCUCUCGACGUAAGUCUUCCCUUAGUUCCUUUAGUAUAUCCGGCAUCUUUUUUCUAAUGGCCUCUUGAACUGCCCGAUCAAAGUCUU
rnacentral:lncRNA from 1 species